UGAAUGAUGAAGGUCUUAGGAUUGUAAAAUUCUUUCACCGGGGACGAUAAUGACGGUACCCGGAGAAGAAGCUCCGGCUAACUUCGUGCCAGCAGCCGCGGUAAUACGAAGGGGGCUAGCGUUGCUCGGAAUUACUGGGCGUAAAGGGCGCGUAGGCGGACAGUUUAGUCAGAGGUGAAAGCCCAGGGCUCAACCUUGGAAUAGCCUUUGAUACUGACUGUCUUGAGUACGGGAGAGGUGUGUGGAACUCCGAGUGUAGAGGUGAAAUUCGUAGAUAUUCGGAAGAACACCAGUGGCGAAGGCGACACACUGGCCCGUUACUGACGCUGAGGCGCGAAAGCGUGGGGAGCAAACAGGAUUAGAUACCCUGGUAGUCCACGCUGUAAACGA
rnacentral:rRNA from 1 species